GACGAACGCUGGCGGCGUGCUUAACACAUGCAAGUCGAACGGAAGGGCCCUGCUUUUGUGGGGUGCUCGAGUGGCGAACGGGUGAGUAACACGUGAGUAACCUGCCCUUGACUUUGGGAUAACUUCAGGAAACUGGGGCUAAUACCGGCUAGGAGCUCCUGCUGCAUGGUGGGGGUCGGAAAGUUUCGGCGGUUGGGGCUGGACUCGCGGCUUAUCAGCUUGUGGGUGGGGUAGUGGCUUACCCAGGCUUUGACGGGUAGCCCGCCUGAGAGGGUGACCGGCGACCUUGGGACUGAGAGACGGCGCAGUCUCGUACGGUAGACAGCAGUCGGGAAUAUUGCACAAUGGGCGCAAGCCUGAGGCAGCAGCGCCGCGUGCGGGAUGACCGUCUUCGGGUGGUAAACCGCUUUCGGCUGUGACGAAGCGGGAGUGACGGUAAUGGGUAAAGAAGCACCGGCUAACUACGUG
rnacentral:rRNA from 1 species